rnacentral:rRNA from 1 species
GGUUUAAAACGUCGUGAGACAGUUUGGUCCCUAUCUGCAGUGGGCGUUGGAAGUUUGAGGGGGGCUGCUCCUAGUACGAGAGGACCGGAGUGGACGAACCUCUGGUGUACCGGUUAUGACGCCAGUCGUAUUGCCGGGUAGCUAAGUUCGGAAGAGAUAACCGCUGAAAGCAUCUAAGCGGGAAACUUGCCUCAAGAUGAGACUUCCCUGAGGGUAUAACCCUCCUAAAGGUUCGUUCGAGACCAGGACGUUGAUAGGUCGGGUGUGGAAGCGCAGUAAUGUGUUAAGCUAACCGAUACUAAUUGACCGUGAGGCUUGAUCCU